GGAGCUCUACAUGUGCGAGGUACCUAACCUGCAUGCCCCGUCCAACACUCUGCUAGACUGGUGACUAGUAGGCUGCAUGCACCAGCCCAACAUGCACUGUAGGGCCGCACGCCCAAGGAGGAGAACUCGGAGGGCCUGAUCGGGAGGCCUAGGAUCCCAAGUGGCCCAUCAGCCCUAGCAGCAACUCUUGGUCCAGUAGGCGCAUGGGCAGUGCAUGUAGGCCCCGCCCAUGUUGUGUGCAUGCACGCGAGUGGGCUCCUUAGUCCGCACGGUUGGUUUGUGUGAGGAGGAGGAUUUGGCCAUUUUUGGGACACUUUUUCAUCAAAUUCCCCAUGUGUUUUUAAGGUAAAAAU
rnacentral:lncRNA from 1 species